AUUGGGACCAUCAGACAGAUAAGAAAGAGCCCAGCAUGCAUCAGCCAAAAUGUCGGUAUCAUUCACAAAGAGCAGCCAGGACAGAACGCUGAGACACGGCGACACCUGCAUUAAAAAACAAAUACAACUCAGAUAAAGGUAUCCACUGUCUGACAUUCCAUCAUCCUCCAGUGUUCCAUCCUCCUGCACUGUGGCCACAUUUCUGCGCUUGAACAGCUGAAAGAACACAAGCUCUCAGCUCACUGUGCUCAAUAAAAAUACCAACAUGCGCCACAUAUCAGUA